rnacentral:rRNA from 1 species
GACGAACGCUGGCGGCGUGCUUAACACAUGCAAGUCGAACGGAAAGGCCCUGCUUUUGUGGGGUGCUCGAGUGGCGAACGGGUGAGUAACACGUGAGUAACCUGCCCUUGACUUUGGGAUAACUUCAGGAAACUGGGGCUAAUACCGGAUAGGAGCUCCUGCUGCAUGGUGGGGGUUGGAAAGUUUCGGCGGUUGGGGAUGGACUCGCGGCUUAUCAGCUUGUUGGUGGGGUAGUGGCUUACCAAGGCUUUGACGGGUAGCCGGCCUGAGAGGGUGACCGGCCACAUUGGGACUGAGAUACGGCCCAGACUCCUACGGGAGGCAGCAGUGGGGAAUAUUGCACAAUGGGCGGAAGCCUGAUGCAGCAACGCCGCGUGCGGGAUGACGGCCUUCGGGUUGUAAACCGCUUUCGCCUGUGACAAAGCGUGAGUGACGGUAAUGGGUAAAGAAGCUCCGGCUAACUACGUG